rnacentral:misc_RNA from 1 species
GAUGAAGAACGCAGCGAAAUGCGAUAACUAAUGUGAAUUGCAGAAUUCAGUGAAUCAUCGAAUCUUUGAACGCACAUUGCGCCCGCCAGUAUUCUGGCGGGCAUGCCUGUUCGAGCGUCAUUACAACCCUCAGGCCCCCGGGCCUGGCGUUGGGGAUCGGCGGAAGCCCCCUGCGGGCACAACGCCGUCCCCCAAAUACAGUGGCGGUCCCGCCGCAGCUUCCAUUGCGUAGUAGCUAACACCUCGCAACUGGAGAGCGGCGCGGCCACGCCGUAAAACACCCAACUUCUGAAUGUUGACCUCGAAUCAGGUAGGAAUACCCGCUGAACUUAAGCAUAUCAAUAAGCGGAGGA